UUAAAAUAUAUUUUUCAGGUCCCCCAAACAUCCCUUGGCCGUCUUGUCGGAUCGGUUUGUGCUCUGAUGGGUGUGCUCACUAUUGCUCUACCCGUUCCAGUUAUUGUAUCUAAC
rnacentral:sRNA from 14 species